UCAGCUGCGUGGAGGAGAGAGCUGGCUUCUUUGGCUUAGACAAGGGUGGCAAUGUUUUCCUCACUAAUGAGGAAUCUGGGCGGGGCAGUCCAGAGUAGGUGCUGGUGCCCGAGAAACUCGUGAGGACCUGGCUCCUUCUCGCUGCUCCUCAGUCACCUUGGCGUCGCGUUUAUGCUCCAGUCAAGGUAAAGGGGGAGGAACAGCCUUGGAGAUGGUGCCACGGAAGCUCCACCCUGUGAGUUUUGCCUCCAUUUGCAGUCAGCCAGCACUGAUUUCCAUGGCCUCUUCUGAUCAGAAGGGAAUCCGGGAGAGCAGAGGAGUUGUAACUGGCUGCUUUGCCACCCCAAAUAGAAUCGAGUUCUCUUGCUCUUCUGAGUUUUGUGUCAUGAGAAAAACAUUUCUUCCCCGCGGAAAUGAAUUCUGAAGGCUCAGGAGCCCAGUAGCACCACGGUUUGUCUCCCGUUCGUUUCCUCCAAGGCUCUGGAAAGCGCAUGUAAAAACGUACAAGCCCAGUCCCAGGUUAGAUGGAAAACGUGCAGCGGGUGUUGUGCUGUGGAAAUAAUU
rnacentral:lncRNA from 1 species